rnacentral:lncRNA from 1 species
GGACAGGACAGGACAGGACAGGACAGAACAGAAACAGAAUAGAAAUAAAUAGCAAAGUGAGGAGGUUGGGAGGGUGGUGGAGAGUAUGGGAACAGGAGGGUUCAGGUGGAGGAAGGAUGAUAGAGAGAGUACUGUGAGAGACAUCUGGAGUCAGGAGCAUCUCCUGGAAGAUCUAGGAACCUAAUGCAAUGGAAAUUCCCAGAAAACUAUGAUGGUGCCCUACCUAAGACAUCUAGCAAUAAGUAAUAGGGAGCCUGAACUGGACAUCUCCUGUAACCAGACAAAACUUCCAGCGGAAGGAAUGGGACACCAACUCAAUCAGCAUAACUUCAAUCCUACAAUUUGUCCUUUCUACAAGAAGCCACAAAGGAAUAUAAAGACCAUGUGAUCUCCAGAGAUGCUUCACAACAGGAAAGAUACUAAGAAAGAGCAGACUGCCCAGAGAUAAGAAGCAAAAACAACCAAACAACAUCAACAAAGCAGAUCAAAAGCUUCCAUACAAAGCCCGGACAAGGCAACCCAAUGGGAGGAAAUAAUACCAGGAGCAGGCAAAGUGUUUUCAUGUUACUUAGAGUCCUAGCUAGAACAUUAGGAGAAGUGAAGGAGAGAAUAAGGAUUCAAAUUUCAUUUAGCAACAUCAUGGAACCAGAGGACACAAUGUUGAGCCUGUAUUGGCUUACAUGGUGAUGAGCAUAUGACUAAGUUGUAAAAAGAAAAAGGGCUUUUCCAUUUAGUGAAGACAGGAA